ensembl:lncRNA
CUGAUUUACAUUUAAAUUACAAAUUACGUUUUGCUGGCAUUAAUUUACAAUGCUGCUUAAAAAAAAAAUACAUAUUCCACUGUACAUGAAUAAUAAUUCUGAGCAGUCAGAUCUUGCUGGAUUGCUAUGAUAUCUUGGCAGUGGGUGCUGCAUACUAAUAUUCCUAGGAAGUUUUCUCCCUGUGAGCGUGGUGUUUCUCCAUGCACAAGCCUUGCACAUUGUCAUGCAGCCAGCCAGCCGCCGUGCAGCCCGUUGCCAUAGGAUCUGCAGAACGAUCUGCCUGCACAUGCAUUUUUAGGAGACUGCAGCAUAGCUGCAUGAAAAAAAGGCUCUGAAACAUGUACGCUCAUUCCAGGGCCAGAACAAGGAGCUUUCUAUGAAUCACUGCAGCCUGUGAGCGUGCUAAAUGCCAAGAACUGAGUGGGAUCUGUUCAUGCCAGUAUGUGGCUGGGAGUUUUUCGAGGAACAGCAGGAAGGCUGGUGCAGCCCGGUGCACGGUCAGCUCUGCUCGCACCUCUCUGUGUUCAAUUCACCCGAUGCUGCUCUGUACUGCCCCGAUCACGUUGCAGGCUGCAGGUCAGCUCCCAUUACUUCAUCCUUGGGCUGUGUCUUUGGCUCGUGCGUGGCACCUGGGAUGUGGAGUAGCUGGGGCCGGUGGGAACCAGAGCAAGGCCGGUGUGCGGUGCUGUGUUCAGGUUGAGAAAACGUCAGUCUUGACAUUCAGAACCAUCCUCCGUACAAAAUCCACGCUCUUCUGCAAGAAGAAAGGCUGUCUGUGAAAACAAAGCACAGAAUAAAGCAGAGCCACAGUCACCCUCACUUACUCACAAGAAGCAGUGCUGAUAAAUGACUAAUAGGAGUGACUGUUCAUAAAGCUGGAUUCAUCCUUAAUUUCCUCUCUCAGAAACUUUUCAGGUUCGUGAGCAACAUCAUUUCAGCUUUACUUUCCCAGGAAGCUCCUUUCUGAUGGGAAAAGAGUUGCCUUGUAAACGUUAUAACAAAUUCACCGGGACCACAUCACAAUCCGCUCAUUUCCUCUCGGCUCCCUGAGACACAACUUGCUGCAGAAAGGAUUCAUUUGUAGUGUGUGCUUGAAACACUACAAGGAAAAUGCUCAGAACAGAGGACCUGCCUACUCUUCAAAUCCUUUUCCUUCCCAUCAGAAGUGAGGGAGAAAAGUGAGUGUCAGCAGCUUCACGGGGAUAAACCAACAGCACAUCUUGGACACAGCUAGCCAAGAAAGCAGCCCCAGAAAGGAGCACACAGAAGGUGCAGAUGGCAGUAGAUCUCCUUCCUCAGAGCUAAAUGCUUCCAGCCCUUCCCAAGCGAGUGCACCACAGCAACCACCUCUAAUAACAAAACCUGAACUCAGCACCGAUCACAUCCUCAGAAAAGGGCAGAGGAAUGGGAAGAGAGAGAGACGGUGGGGCAUCCAUCCAUCCUGUGGGAAGCAGGGCAAGGGAGGAAACCUGGUGCAGCACAUAAACACAAUUAGUUCAGUAGGGAUAAUGGGUUUUACAACCAUCAUGUUAAAGAGACUGGGAAUACUUUAAAAGACUGUCAAUGCUCAGUGCUUGCCGUGUGGAAGCAGCUUGCUGAAACCUGGGAAGCACUUCAGAGGCAGCCCACAUCGAUAUCCCAGCAUCAACAGACAUGUGCACAGCAGGAAAGGAGCAGCCAGAAACGUGCAGCCUGGCUGUAUUUUCCUAUAAGUUGUUUACUUAAGAGAAAAAAAUACCACCUACCUAGCACAGCUCCUUUCUCUGCAGCCAUCACAUGCUCAGCUUCAUUGUUUGCUAAUUGCAGAUUGCUCACAAACACAGGGCACUAAAUUUAGGCUUUGGUGUCGUUCCUUUGCUUGAUAAAGCAAACAAACAAAGCAAAAUAAUUACAGGAGUCUUGCAAGUGAAUACAACAAAAAGUCAAAACAAAGGCAAAAUA